UAUUGAAAGACGAGAGACAUUUUUGGAAGACUGCAGGCCUAUUUAUUUUCCACUCACAGGGCGCACGCACACCCUUCGAUUCGAACCUCUGAUCUUUAAAUAUGACUAAUGAGUCAUUUCAGAUCCGCCAUUCCUGUUCCAAGCUCGGAGGCGGAGCUCUCAGGGCAUUCUGAUUUCUGAGAGAAAACCGGAGCUGAGAGUAGAGAGAUCGCGCUUAUAGAUCGACAAGUCGUUGCCUAAACUUCCAUAUCUAGAUUUUAUUCCAUUUUCCAGCCUUCUGAUCUUUGUUUCGGUGUUUUCUAGUCCAUAGUUCUGUUAAAGUUAUGAAGGUUUCAUCUGCUUUGGCUAUCAUCUACUGGGGUUUCUGGUUCUUCACAUAUUUUGAUGAGGUUUUGUUCUCGAUCUGUGCUUUCAAGUACUAUAGGUGAAGAUCUAGUUUCGGUUCUUCUGCUUGAGGGCUGUAGACCUGUAGUUUGAAUCUGGGGUCAAGAUCUGCUCCAGCUGUGACAGUUGUGGAUAAAUAGUAUCUCUUGUGUGCAGGAGCUUUCCUGCGAUUUGAACUGAAAAUAGGACAAACUUUCGUGGUUUUGACCGAUCUUCGGGGUUCGAAGACCUCGCUUUAACCUAUCUAUGCUGUAGCAGGCAAGAUUGGUCACAGAGCUAUUAGAGGUUUUUAGUACAGGGAAGGUCACGCAGAUCGUAAAAGAGAACCUAAACUAGUCCGCUGUGAUUUCUUAUACUUGCAAAUGGAGACUCUUGUUAUUGUCUCUCAGCAUCGGAAUCAAUAUUACAGCAGAAGCAACUCUACUGUUUCCGAUACAUUUUCUUCCCCUUCCAGAGGCUUCAGGGAGAUCAAUUGCAGAACCUUUCAAUCUGGAGCAGGUAUUCUUCCGACUCCUUCAAAGUUUUUUAAUAGUCCUUCUGCAAUUAGAAGGACUUGUUCUUCCCCGCGAACGCCACAAUCUUUGAGUCCUCAAUUUGAAGAUGAGAAGCCAUUGAAGAAUACUGGAAAAAGCAGCGCAAUUCCUAUAAAUCUCAAUGUUUCCAACAAGGGCUGGUCUUACAACGAUGACCUUUCUUGCUCUGAGCUCUGGGCUGGACCUGCAUAUUCGAACUCACCUCCCCCGAGUUCUUUGCCCAUCCCCAAAUUUAGCCUUCGUCAGAAGCGAAGUGUGUCUCUUGAUCUGCCUACAUCAACCUCUGCGGUGAUUACAAUGCACCCUAUUGCUAAAUCUGCUCCGCCUUCACCCACAAGGGAACUGUGUCCCUCUAAAAGGGACUUCUUUCUCACCACUGACUCUGCAACUAAUCCAACUCCAAGGGAUUUCUUUCUCAACAUUGACUCUGCAACUAAGAACCUGCGCCGUAUUCUCCAUCUGGAUAUUGAUGAUGAAUGAGAAUGUGGAGGGUCCUGAAUCCUGUGAAUAAUUUCCAUGUGCAACAUGGGUUACCGGUAGCUUGUAUAUAAGUAGUGAAUAAUAUGGUCUGUAGGUUUAGCCUUUGCAUCAUUACAGCUUUCUUUGUUUCUUUGUUGGUGGUACAAGAACAGCGACAUACAGCAAUAUUCUGACUAUACUGCAAGUAUAGAUGGUAAGAAAUGGAUAACAUGGGUUUUCUGAUGGACGGCUUUCGGGAAGGAGAAGAGAACUAGUGCUGUGUGCUGAAAAAAACGGAUAGCAUGGGUUUUCGGGAAGGAGAAGGGGACUGAUGCUGAAAAAAAUUGAUAUUUGAUCUGCUCACUUGCACAUCUGCCUGUCUCUGCAGUGUUCUUGGCGUUCUCUUAUCAAUGGGUAAUGAUGGAAACUGUCUUUCAGCGGUCAAAAGUUAUGAUAUGGUUAUGGAGAAGCACACUUUCUAUCAUAAUCGUGGAUAAAAGUUUCUUUCUUGAGUAGGUUAGGCAUAUCUAAUUCUAUGUAGUGUGUAAAUAACUAACCAGUUUAGGUCUUUCAUCUGGUUAGGUUAAUCAUCAUUCAGGUUCUGUAUCAUGGUUUGGUCUCUAUAGCAUCUUUAUCCCCUUUAGGUUCUUAAUCCUGUACUAUUUGAAUUCUACUUAAUCCAAAGCUUACAUGGUAGAUGUUUCUAUAGUUAGCCCGAGUUGGCUGAUUAGAUGGUAGAUUUGCAUUGCCUUCUGUUUAAUCUUUUUCCUUCUACUUGGUCCAACUAUGCCUGAAUUGGCUGGUUAGGUGGUAGGCUUGCACUUGUUAGUAUCUGGUCUCUGACAUUACGUCAAUUGGCUGCUUAGUUGUUCUUCAUGUGUUGUCAUCUGUAUCUUUACCUUUUCCUUUUCCUUCUAAACUCUUAUUCCUUUCUGAAUUCUUCAAAAUGGUCUUGGCUUCCUCUACACCCCCCUUUUUCAGGUUUUUUAAGGGAAAGGUGGGAAGGGGAAUUGGAAGACUAUACUCUAUUACUUGGUUUAUCCUCAUCUUUUGCAUUAAAGUGUCUAGGCUCCCUGUGUUUCGUCUUAUUGUCCUGUUGUAAUCCCUGCUAGUUGUCUGCUUCUGUUAGCUGGUGUCACCAUUUGUCUUUUAAUACUUGGAAGGUGGCAUAUCAAUCUCUGGAGAUUACUGGGUUCAAUGCUAUAUAUAAGUGCUGAUCCAUGGAACUAAAUGAGCUGCCAAUCUUUGUUCUGGAAGGCUUGUGAUUGGAGAGCUAAAUGAGUUUGUAAGAAAGACUUGUGAGUUACUUGGGCCUAGCCAUUUCCUUUCAUGUUUUAGGUGGAAAUUCCCAUGAAGUGAUCUUGGAGUUGAGGACUCCUUGAGCUGAUUGUGGAGUUAAUAACAUAAUAUCUAGUUAUUGUUGUAUUAGGGUUGAUGUAGUUUGUUACUUUGUAUGGUUGAUAUUUUCGCUGCAGUCUAGUCUGCAAUGUUGUGUUUCUUGGGUCUUCAGAAGUUUGUUUGCAAAAAUCUUGUGUUGCUCUUGUCUGUUUCUGUUUGCUUCUGUCACAACUCACAAACAAGUUAUUGGAAUAGUUCCUAAUUUUUCUUGCAUCAUAUAGUGGGGGUGCUACGAUCUCUCACCCUUAAACAA